UUGAAAGAUACGCUCUUGUAAAUAAAAUAACUUUGAACCUUCCUCUAUCAAUCGCCAUAAGGCGGAGGCUCACUUGCAUUCUGUACUUCAAACAGACGUUUUAAAACUUAGGAAUACUUUUCAAUAUAGUUGAAGGUUAAUAAUAAGACUUCCUAAAAAACAUGAAG